AUAUAUAUAUAUAUAUAUAUUAUUAUAUAUUAUUAUAUAUAAUAUAAUUUAUAUAUGUAUUUACAUUAUAGAUCACAUAUGUCCUAAUAAACCCAUCACAAAUUGAAAAUAUCGUUAAGUCUAAAAAGCACGUAACACCCCAACCUACCGAACACCACAGCUUAGCCUAGCCUACCUUAAACGUGUUCAGAACACGUACCUUUGCCUACAGUUGGGCAAAACCGCGUAACACAAAGCCCGUUUUAGAAUACAGUGUUGACUGUCAUAUGUAAUUUAUAAAUACUCUGCUGAAAGUGAGAAGCGGAAUGGCCGUUGUAAUUUUAUCACUGUCAUUUUAUUAUGCAAACUAUAAUUUCAUCGCUGCAAUCGUAUCAUCGCUGACCCUGGUGAUCGCGUGGCUGACCGGGCGCUGGGGCUCGCUGCCCUGCCCAGCGUCACCGGAGAGGAUCACACUGUGUAUCACCAGCCCAGGCAAAGAUCAAAAUUCAGAAUUCCAAGUACGGUUUCUACUGAAAGUGUGUCAUUGUCACACCCUCGUGAGGUCAAAAAAUCAUGAAGUCAAGCCAUCCAUCGAGUCGGGUUGUCAGGGAGCUACAAAGGAACAUUCUGGUGAGAAAGAAGCUCUCCAGAGCGUGGGUGGCAGCAGACAGUCAGUCGUCGAGGACAACACCCUGAUCUGGGCCCGGCCGCCCCUCCCACACCCCCAAAGGAGCCACACAAGGAGCUGGCCUCCGAGGGGCUCCCUUGGGAAUCCCCACCAGUGCUUGCCCACACGGGCACUCCGGCCUCAGGAGCCCCCUGAGGAAGAGGUUCUUGCUGCUGGAUUUGUGGGCUUCUCAAAGCCUUGGGCGGCGGGUAUUUGUGUUAUAAGAAGACACCUGGUUUUCUUCAAGGGUCAGAAGAGAUUGGUGGCUGAGCGAUUCUGCUGUCCUGGGGGGGCAGGCUGCAGGAGGGCCUUGGUCACCCCGGGAGGUGGAAGGAGAGAGGCCCGGGCCAAGCCCUGGGGCCUGGGCUGCUGCUGUCGGUCGCCCUGCCUUCAGCACGACAAGGUGCAAACUCCAGGAAGGAACGCCACCCCGUCCAGGGGCCAGCCCCCAAUAACAGGGUUGGAUGGGACAAGGCUUGGGGUGCCCAGCUGGGCCGUAAGACUGCCGCCCGGCGCACCUCCGUCUUUGCAAAGCAUGCGUCCUUUCUCCUCAUCCUCUCCCCCCAUGGUAAGGCCUUUCUUUUCCCUACUUUACAGAUGAGAAGACGGACUGGAGCAAAGCAGGCGGCGGGACAGCCUUGCAAGCGUGAAGUGUGAUGGGACAAUGGAGCUCAGCUCACUGGUGGUCCAGCAGCCCAACUCCAGCCCCUAGUGACCCAGACCUCGCCUGACUUGCCCUUCCCCACCCCCAUUCCAUGACUGUGGCCUCUCUCACCCAGCUUUGGAAAGGAAGAGUUACAAAUAACAAGGCACAAGAUUGCCCUCAGAGAAAUAAUCUGCUCCAUAGACAAGAUUCUCUUUGACCCAUGUGUGGAUUUUCUAGGGCUGCCAUGGCAAGCGACCACAAACUGAGCACCAAAGCAACAGAAAUAUGUUGUCUCACAGUUCUAGAGGCCAGAAGUCUGAGAUCAAGGUGUUGGCAGGUGCCAUCUCUGAUCAAUUGGAGUGAUUACCCAGAGUGUUGCAAAGAAAAGGGUGGGGGAUUGACAUCCAAGAUUAAUGAGAAAGCCCUCAUCAUGAGAACAUGCCCAAGCUCAUCUGCUGGAAGUAAGUCAGAAACACAUGGAAGAGAGCCAAGUCAUCCCAUCAAGGCCAUCCUAGACCAGUUAUCCCCCAGUUACCUAACAAACUAACCAUAGGCACGUGAGUGAGCCUAGCCAACAUCAGCCAAGCCUAAUCCAGACCAGUAGAAGCAUCCAGCUGACCUGUAGACUUGUGAGAAGCAAGGAAUGGUUGUUAUUUUAAGCUACUAGAUCUGGGAGUGGUUUGUUAUGUAGCAGUAACUAACUGCCACGUCUGAUCUCUGGGCUAAAGAGGAAGAGGAAGAGAUUAGGUAUACACUGCGUCCACUGCUGGAAUUUAGUCAUGACUAGGAAACUCUGAGGAACUGAUAGGGCAGGUCUGUUAAAAGGUUAUUUGCAUGGGGUGCCUCCUAGGAGAGAAGUCAUCCCAAGGGAAGAACAAGUCAAGCAGAGAAGCUUGGCCUGGGAACAAAGAUUUAGUCAUCAGAAGCUGAGAAAAUCCACCCUGGUGUCUAUUAUUCUAAUGGGUCUUCUGGCUACAGCUCAAUGGACUCUUGUUUGACUUUUAUGGUAGAGGGUACAGGAAAGGUACAGGCAAAGGAUUAUUUCACUAACGGCUCUCUAGGACACUGAUGCACAAGCUCCUCAGCUUUGGGCUCCUUGAGGAAAAUUGUAGAGCUCAAGUAGCAAGAGAGGAUCUAUGUGAACAAGGCACAAGUUUGGUAUCCAGAAGACCUCCGUCAAAGAUCGAGUACCCAGAAGAAGACUAAGUCGCAUCUGUCUAAAAACUACCUUAAUUCACGAUUUCAUUCUUUUAUGCAUUCUACAAGCACUGAGGGCUACUCAGACUUUACCAAUCUGAACUGGGUUACACUGAAGGGAGAUGAAAACAUCCAUAAGGUAGGAUCUCUCCCUGUAAGGAGCACACAGGCUGGUUUAUGUUUAAAACUAGGCCUUAUCUCGUGCACUCUGGUUGAUUUGUAAUGGCUGCUGAGAGCAUCUCUUGAGCAUUUGAGAGGUCACCUCCUGAUUCCGAGGAGUGCUGUGAUUGACUAGCAAUGUCAGCUCUGGCCACGUAUUCGUUAUCCUGAUGGUUGAGUUUUCUGUCCUGGCUCCAUAGCAGCAUUUAAUUGUAGACCCAAGACCCAUGUAGGCCUCCUGCAUGUAGUAUAUGUAAAAUCCAUCUGCCACAACCUGUUCCUACCUUAGCAGGGAGACAGGGGCUGAACGGACACUGAGGAAGGUGGGUCUGAGUUAGCAUUCUUCUUAUAUGACAAAGGGGCAUGAUAUUUUCUCUCUUACCUAUUUCUGCUCCUCCUCUGCAAGUCAGAGAUGUAAUCCCCAAAAUAGGGGUGAGGUGGAGUGGAGUAUGGAGUAGAAACCUAUGCACAGGGACAAAAAUCACUCCAUCUCCCUCUGGCAGAGGGAUAAAGGGCUUGAGGAUGUCUGAGACCAUAACCCAGCCUUGAAAAUAAGCACUGAAAUGUUACCAGCCCAUACUCAGCAUCAUAUGGGCUAUAAAAUAAAGAAAAUCCCACCAGUCCAGUUUCUUGUAUCUACUCAGUAUGAACAUGGUUAAUCUCUUGACAGCCUUAGCAGGCUGUGGGAACAGGAGAGUGCCAGGUGGAGUUCCCGGUGGGCAUCUAAGGAACACCAUGGAUGAGUCCUCAGGAGCUCAACUGAGGAGCUCAGCCUGGAUUUGGACGCACAAUCCUUAAACAACUGUAGGGGAGACAAAAAUUUUAGAGUCACUACUAAAUUCACUGUUCCUAAAGAUCUGUUUGUUUUGUGAGCCACCUAGAACUCAAAAGGCUGAGUACUUAUUAAGUACGUAUGGCUCUCAUAGUCUGUAAGACCUGCCUCAAAUCUCUGGUAUGCCAUUCUCUAAUGGUGGGACUUCGGGUAAAUGCCUUAACCCAUUUUUUGUCUGAAAAACAGGGAUUACAACAGUACUUAUUCUCAGGGUUUUUGUUUAGAUAGAAUGAGUAUGGGAAGUACUCAACAGAAUGGCUGUGCUAAGUACUCAACAAAUGAUAGCCAUAAUUAUUAGCAAUUAAGUUCUGGACUCUUUUGGGGUAUCUCCUGCAGCCCCACUCACAAGUGGUAUUGGGCUCCAGCCCCAUGCGGCCAGAAGCUGUGGGCACAGGCACUCAGUGGGCUCGGGUCUCCCCUCUUCUCAGCCUCGCCUCAAGCCGUCCUGCCAACACAGGCCACGGAGCAGUGCACAGGUUUCCAAAAGGAGAUGCUGUCUCUCAGCAGCUCAGUUCCCAUUUUCAGGGCUCUUCGGGCAUGUGUUGUGCCAGACAAAGCCAUGUGUGUGUGUGAGGCCCAGGCCCUGUGACACUGCCUAGAGAGAGGGACAGCAGGGGAAGAAGACACAGAGCUCCUGUUCCAGCCAAAGGCAACAGCACCCUGGAAGCCACAGGGCCUCUGGCCAGGGACUGUUUACACUCUCCGAGGACAGUGCCUGCUGCCCAGAGCGGGAUUCCAACACUGAAGCCACAGCGCCUGAGCAGAGCCACGCCUGCCAGACUGCCUCCCUGGGCCGCAAUGACCUGGUCACCUGGCGUGGAGAGGGUGUUGGGGGACAAGCUUUAGAGAGAAAGACCCUGGGAGAGGGAGGUAGGAAGGAGGCCUUCUGGUUCUUACUCUCUGGGCUGCUGUUUCUUCUACUGUUGGGGAAAACAAGAUAAGGAAACAGAGCACCUGACCCAACGUGUGGUAGAGCGGGACUUGACGGGCAAGUCUCUGCUUCAACACUGCCAUCCACCUGCAUAUGCUUGGGCAGGUCCCAUAGCCUCCCUGCGUAGCCUCCACUUCCAUAUCUGCAGGAUGGGGACUGCCACAAGGUUGACGGGAGGAACACACGAGAUAAUUAUGUCUCCACCUUUUUAAGGCGGGCAAGUAUGUACACAAAUAUUUCUUCCACUUAUUUGUCUUCCUGUGCCUCCUUUUCCCUCUAUGUUGCCUCUUUCCCACCUCUCAUUUAUUUCCUUUUUUCUCCCUCCAUCCCCAUACUUUACCUUAGGCUAGGGAUAUUCAAGACAUUUCCACCAAAAUGUCCCUACCAGCCAAGAAGAAUAAAAAGGACUUAGCUUAAAGUGCUCAAUACAAGUUGAAAUUUCAUUGGCAUUUGGAUGGUGGACAUGGCACUUGGCUCCAUGAUCCAUCCACGUGUGGCUGUUCCCAUUCUUGGUUGAAAACAGCAGAGCCCGUUUCUGCUAAUUCAGACACAAUGAGACAUCAGGGCAACUGUGGAUUUUGAAGGCGAAUCAGAAAGUCAUGGCCUCCACGCACAGGAAACCUGUCCAAACCACCUGGCAGGGGCUGCCCCAGUGAAUCCCCAUUGGCAUCAGCCUUGAACGCAAACACCGUAGCUCAUUCCAGAUGGGGCUUCUCUCUCUGAUCCCACUGGGGAUGACACCAAAGAUCCAGAACUACCGCACGUGGAAAAGGAUGCCUCUGCCCCCCUUGCUGCCCAAACGUGGAUUCCUCAAGGCCCCCUUCCCUGGAUGGCUUUCUGCGGAGUCUUGUGUGAGUGCACGGCCUAUGACGUGACCAGCAGCCUCACUACAAGGGAAGACGGAAGAGUGAAUUCCAGCAGGACUCGCAGUACAGGACAUUUUCCCAAUAGAGAAACACUGGAAAUGGGCAUCAAUGGGCCUCACUGAUACAUUAUAUACCGUAACGUUAUUUUUUAGCUACCGGUCUGCAAGUGAAAAGAAUGUUCCAGAAACAUAUGGUCUGUUUUCCUAAACUUCGUGUCCCUGUCAUUGUCCACAUAGUCCCAGGGAACAGGUUCUCCAGUUUGAGAAGCCAGGCCCUGGGCCCUUCCAGAGGCAUUGCCCAGCCUCAUUAAGUAAGUAUACCUUCGGUUAAAGAUGAGUCAUCAGCCCCUGAAGGAGGGCCCAGAUUCCAUCUCCUAAAAAUGGAAGCACAUUUGAAAUGUUUUGAGUAACGCCAGCUAUGUAACUGUCCUAUUGGGCCCACAGAGCUGACUUCCCUUGCCCGCCCCGGUCCCGCUGUGAAGAUCAUCUGACGUUCCAGUCGAUGUUGGCUUCUGUGGCUCCCUCCCAUCCACCCCUUCCCAGGCACCCUCUCGAGUAGAGGCAAUUGGGGCCCAUGCAGCACAUCUUCUGUUCAGUGUUGUUUUCAGGAAAGCAUCAAGGGCCUCCUCUGUCAUGGUCCGUGAUUCCUCCUGGACAUGGAACCUACUGGAAGAAAGUCACAACAGGCCUGGCAUUCUUCUCGGAGCUCUGACUUUUCCUACGUAUGCAUUCUACAGUUGCGUCAGCUUCAUUAGCAGAAAGCCCCAAGGCCGUAGCUGGAUCUCCCCGAGAAGCAAAACACAGAUUCCAAUUUCCCUGUGGCUGAAGGUAGUAACGUUGGCGCCAUGAAGGUUAGCGUCCUCUGUGCAAAACUACGGGCUGACAUUCUCCUGGAAGCAGGGGCCUGUUGUUGUUUGGAACUGAUUCUCUCUUGCAAACUCUCUCCAGGGAGUGGACUCUGAAACCACUGGCCAGUUUUCAAAUAUGUACAUGCAGAAUGAGAGGUAUUUUUUCAGUUGGUCACUAGGAAUAGAGCCCGGGCAGGAGCCCUAAAAUUGGAAAGUACAUUUCACUGCAGUUUUCCCCCCUAAAAAUAGCAAGUUAGCUUUGCCAUGCAAGGGGCGGAACUCGGGGCCCUCGUCUGGGGAUAAUAGGAAAGCUACCCUGGCUGGCAGGCCGGCGGGUCUUACCCCGGUGGGACCUUGCGGCCCUGUUUGUAGGGGAGCCCCAUCUCCUGAGGACUGACUUCAAGACCCCGGGCAUGGCCCUCCUGCUGCCCAGCCCUGCCCUAUUCCUCACGAAACAUAGGACCCUUCUGUCUGUCAUAGUCCUGUCCCGCCCAACGGGGUUGCGAGGUUGCCAAAGCUUGCUUCUAGCACAGGUCUGGGGGCUCUAGCACCAUGUGUACUAGCUCCCAGAGAAACCAGGGUUUGGGAAGAGGCAAUAGAUAGAUACUUGAGGUGAUUCCAGUAUAUUUGCUGAAUGCACAAGGAUACGGGUGCAAAUAUUCUCAGCUGAAUUUGCAACGUGACGCAUGCUUCCUGAGAGCGCACCGGACAGGGUGGCAACAAUGGGAUGCACUUGACAGCAAUAGAUCACGUCCCACUGGUCUCACCUGCUACCACACACGUCAGCCCUUCUCGGAGUGUCACUAAAGUAUUUCUGAGCUCUCUCGGGGUUUUAUGAAAGGCUCUCAUAAACAAGCCCUUGUCACUCCCAGUUGGUGCCUGUUACUGUCCCCUUGUCCACUUCUGGCCUCUUCCACUGGAGUCCCACAUCCGUGAUUCUUCAGCCCACGGGGGCCAGAAGAACGAGCAUGCCCAAGGCCACGUCCGUGCGCUCGAGACCACCACGCGACUCCAUGACACCUGGCAACCCUUGCUGCUCGGGUUUUUCUCAUAGCUUAUCUCUCCCCAGAGAUCUUCCAUUAGGCCCGUAUGGGGUUGGGCUCACUAAUAUAGCCAAGUGACAUCACCAUACUGGAUCCAGAAUCAUCCUGCCCUUCCCACAAUGAAUGCUUUGUUAUCGGGCCAAGCUUCUCUGCCGACAUUCUCUCUCUUUAGGGUUCCUGGCCUGCUCUGCUGCUGACUUACUGGGUGAUCUUGGGCAAAGCACUUAACCUCUCUGGGUUUCAGUUCACUGGUCUCUAAAAU